GGGCCAGGCCUGUGGUGAAAAGUGGACAGGCCAGGCCAACUCACUUUCAAAAGUGGGAGGGCCUUGGCCCCCCCUUUUCUGGUGCUGAUGUAAAUGA